rnacentral:lncRNA from 1 species
CUUAAGUAAACUUCUUAUCUAGGUUCACAGGGCAAGACCACAUCUAAUAUGGUUCAUAUGUUUUGUGGAAACAUGUAUUUUUAUUCAGAAUAGCUAUGUGGAAAAGGAAAGAUAAAAUGAAUCCCAAGGGCAUCUUAAACACACUAAAGAUAUAUUACAGGCCACAUAGUUCAACUCAAGAGUGUUUUGGCAAGCAGAAAGUGGCAGACAAAUUGUAAGUCCAGCAAUGUAUAUAAAAACCUAUGAAACAUGUCUAUGGAUAGAAUUCAAUGAUGCAAUUACUUGGGAAAGCUUGAAUAAACAUGUUAAGUAGUCAGCAUUUAUCAAAUACCCUUUGCUAGGCAUUGGGGAGAAGGAAAACAAGAGUUACCAUGAGGCAGAGUAAGAGGUCAGCAUAAUCUGUGAGUGAGGGUGAAAUCACCACGCAAAGACAUCUGAGGGUACUGUCAUUUUGAAUAAGGUUAAAGCUGUCAAACUAGUUAUAAAGAAUGACUUUGAGCCAGGUGGUACUCAAUGAGAGUGGAGGUACCUGUUCCUGUAACCGUAAAACUAUUUAAACAUACUAAAACUAUAGAAGUAAA